GUGAGUCAUCGAAUCUUUGAACGCAUAUUGCGCUCUUUGGUAUUCCGAAGAGCAUGCUUGUUUGAGUAUCAGUAAACACCUCAAAGCUUUUGGAUUUUUUUUUGAAAGCUUUGGACUUGAGCAAUCCCAACGCCAAUCUUUUUCAGAUCGGCGGCGGGUUGCUUGAAAUGCAGGUGCAGCUGGACUUUCUCCUGAGCUAAAAGCAUAUUCAUUUAGUCCCGUCAAACGGAUUAUUACUUUUGCUGCAGCUAACAUAAAGGGAGUUUGACCGUAUUGGCUGACUGAUGCAGGAUUUCACAAGGGUCGGCAACGAUUCUUGUUAAACUCGAUCUCAAAUCAAGUAAGACUACCCGCUGAACUUAAGCAUAUCAAUAAGCGGAGGA
rnacentral:misc_RNA from 1 species